rnacentral:misc_RNA from 1 species
UGGCCCACCAAGCUCUCGG